UACGAAGGGGGCGAGCGUUAAUCGGAAUUACUGGGCGUAAAGGGUGCGUAGGUGGUUUGAUAAGUUAGGUGUGAAAGUCCUGGGCUUAACCUGGGGAUUGCGCCUGAUACUGUUAGGCUAGAGUACUGUAGAGGGAAGUGGAAUUUCCGGUGUAGCGGUGAAAUGCGUAGAUAUCGGAAGGAACACCAGUGGCGAAGGCGACUUUCUGGACAGAUACUGACACUGAGGCACGAAAGCAUGGGGAGCAAACAGG
rnacentral:rRNA from 1 species